CAUAAAUCGAAGCUUUAGCCAAAAAAAAAUCGGCUUACGAAGAAUAUAACUACCUCAACCGACUUGACGCGUGCAAGUUCAUGCAAUCUGGUUAAAUUAAUAAAAUACUUACAUCGGACUGGAAAAAUAAUGUUGAUUUUUGAGGAUUUAUACCGAUGGCCAACAAGGCAGCAAGCAUAUCGAGACGGGCUUGUCUAAAUUUAAGAGGAUCUUGCGGAACGGUUAAAGCAUGCAAAUCGGCAACAAAGAAGAAGCAUUUGGAGAAUGGGGUACGAGCGGCUUCCUCUUGUAGUUGAACCCAUUGCUUUAGAGAUCCCAAAUAAUUGCCAAUGUGAGGAAUUCCAGUAGGCUGAAUACCUGAAACAACUCUGCUAUGUGGAAGGAGAGAAGUGAUUUUUGGAAGUUUAGCCAUUCUUUAUUACUUUUUAUUUAAUUGGUUUAUAAAGUGAACAAAUAAAUAAAGAUAAAGAAUAAAUGUAAUGAAAAUAAAAAAAAACAGCUGUGUUAUAAUCCAACUGAUUACAGCUCGCAGACAAUUUUUUCAAAAAGGAACAAGGCCGUAGAAACGAAUGCUACACUUAUGACUAGGUCAGAAUGAAAACAAGCAAAAUAUAGGAGGAAUGUUCAAUGACACGCAGAUAAGACAACAGGAUAGAAACUUUUCUUCUCUACCAAAGAUAGUUGAUAAAUGGUAUCAAAACGGGAUUAUUUUUUUGGUAAAAUCAAGUAGCUAAAGUUCAUAACCAUACAAUUAAAGCGUUGCAAUACCUCAGAAACUGAGAAGAUGCCUAUAACAAAAAAUGGGAUAAGAAACCCAAACUAUGGGAGGAAAAAAAAGAUUAAAGGCGGAAAGUGAUAUUGUUAGAAAGUAUGGAGAAAAUCCUACAAUGGUGGGUAUUUGAAUUCUUCAUAAAAGAAGGAUAGUUUACAUGGAGCGAGUCAUUGAAUGAACUUUAAGCCGUUAAAAAUCUACCGAAAAUAGCUCGUUUAAGC